rnacentral:rRNA from 1 species
GAUGAACGCUAGCUACAGGCUUAACACAUGCGAGUCGAGGGGCAGCAUGAUUGAAGCUUGCUUCAAUUGCCGGCGACCGGCGCACGGGUGAGUAACGCGUAUCCAACCUUCCGUACACUCAGGGAUAGCCUUUCGAAAGAAAGAUUAAUACCUGAUGGUAUGAUGAGAUCGCAUGGUAUCAUCAUUAAAGAUUUAUCGGUGUACGAUGGGGAUGCGUUCCAUUAGGUAGUAGGCGGGGUAACGGCCCACCUAGCCUACGAUGGAUAGGGGGUUCUGAGAGGAAGGUCCCCCACAUUGGAACUGAGACACGGUCCAAACUCCUACGGGAGGCAGCAGUGAGGAAUAUUGGUCAAUGGACGAGAGUCUGAACCAGCCAAGUAGCGUGAAGGAUGAAGGUCCCUACGGAUUGUAAACUUCUUUUAUAAGGGAAUAAAACCUCCACGUNUGGGAGCUUGUAUGUACCUUAUGAAUAAGCAUCGGCUAACUCCGUGCCAGCA